rnacentral:rRNA from 1 species
UACGUAGGGUCCGAGCGUUGUCCGGAAUUAUUGGGCGUAAAGGGCUCGUAGGCGGUUUGUCGCGUCGGGAGUGAAAACACGGGGCUUAACCCCGUGCCUGCUUCCGAUACGGGCAGACUAGAGGUAUGCAGGGGAGAACGGAAUUCCUGGUGUAGCGGUGAAAUGCGCAGAUAUCAGGAGGAACACCGGUGGCGAAGGCAGCUCGCUGGGACGGUACUGACGCUGAGGCGCGAAAGCGUGGGGAGCGAACAGG